rnacentral:rRNA from 1 species
UACGGAGGGUGCAAGCGUUAUCCGGAAUCAUUGGGUUUAAAGGGUCCGCAGGCGGAUUUAUAAGUCAGUGGUGAAAGCCUACAGCUUAACUGUAGAACUGCCAUUGAUACUGUAAGUCUUGAAUUCGGUCGAAGUGGGCGGAAUGUGUAAUGUAGCGGUGAAAUGCAUAGAUAUUACACAGAACACCGAUAGCGAAGGCAGCUCACUAGGCCUGGAUUGACGCUCAGGGACGAAAGCGUGGGGAUCAAACAGGAUUAGAUACCCUGGUAGUCCACGCUGUAAACGAUGAUUACUCGUUUUCGGCGAUAUACAGUCGGAGACUAAGCGAAAGUGAUAAGUAAUCCACCUGGGGAGUACGAUCGCAAGGUUGAAACUCAAAGGAAUUGACGGGGGCCCGCACAAGCGGUGGAGCAUGUGGUUUAAUUCGAUGAUACGCGAGGAACCUUACCAGGGCUUGAAAGUUAGUGAAGAAUGUGGAAACAUGUUCGUCAGCAAUGACACGAAACUAGGUGCUGCAUGGCUGUCGUCAGCUCGUGCCGUGAGGUGUUGGGUUAAGUCCCGCAACGAGCGCAACCCCCAUCUUUAGUUGCCAGCGGAUAAUGCCGGGGACUCUAAAGAAACUGCCUACGCAAGUAGUGAGGAAGGCGGGGACGACGUCAAGUCAUCACGGCCCUUACGUCCUGGGCCACACACGUGCUACAAUGGUCGGUACAGAGGGCAGCUACCGGGUGACCGGAUGCGAAUCUCUAAAGCCGAUCUCAGUUCGGAUUGGAGUCUGCAACUCGACUCUAUGAAGCUGGAGUCGCUAGUAAUCGCGCAUCAGCCAUGGCGCGGUGAAUACGUUCCCGGGCCU